CACCCAAAACCCUAUCUCUGCUCUCUCACGACUCUCCCUCUCACCCUCCUCUGUUACCCAUCGGCCUCCCUUUCCCCUUCCCUUGAUCGAAUGCAACCAACCUCUCAUCCCCAUUCUCUCACCUGAUGCCAUUCAUUUCCCUCUCUCCUCACCACCUAAUGCCUAAGGCUAGAGUUCAGAUUGUUGAAAACUUGAAGACUUCACCGCGUAAGACACUCCUCCGUCGCAAGCCCACUCCAAUUUCUUGGUGAUUCUUAGCAACUCAAGUUCUCUUUAAUUUUCCUUCAAGCAAACACCUAGGAAUAUUUGUUUUCUAGAAGAGCUUGAUACUAUAAGUGGUUGGGCACAAAAUGUAUCCAUAUUGCAAGAGUACAGAGCAAUUGAUUGCACAAUUGAUUGUGUACCAUUAUCAGCCAAGUCUAAAUGAUACAAAUCUGCUCCUAAUCACUUGCACAAUUGAUUGUGAAAUUGUAGUGUGAAAGCCACUCUGGGCCUGGAUGAACUGGGUUUGGCGACUGAAGAUGUUGAGAUGUCAAUUGGCAAAUGGUGGAUUAUCAUGGGAUUAUACAUUUAGCUCUUUUGUACUUGUACAUGGAACCAGUAUAUUUAGCUAUUAGUUUCUUCAAUUCCCAUAUCUACUCUUCUGUACUUGUAUAAUAAGUGAGGCCUUAACUUGUCUCAUUUAGGCAGGAUUCAGACUACAUAUAUGAAACGUGAUAUUUGGUGAUGGGAUGAGAGACUAGCUUGCUUAGACAAAUUUCAAUGUAAACAGAUACUCACAUGCAUGCAUGUAUAAAUGUGCCUAUAGAUACACAAUGAUAAAGAAAUUAGUAGAAUAUUGAUUGUUUGAAAAGCCAUGCAAAGUUAGUAAUUGAGUUAAUCAGAAAUUUAGGAAGUUUUCUCUUCAGAGCUUGCAUGGAUACAGUUCCAAUAAUAAUAUGGAAGGCAACUCUCCUUACUUCGUAUGCAGGUGGGCAACUAAGGUAAAAGCAGCAUGAAUACCAAUUCAAGGUCACAAAAGCUCCUUGAUUAAAUUGUGUAGUUUCAGAGCUUGCAUGGAUAGAUUGCUGUUUUCUUCGCUCAUUUUUCAUGACAAUGGCUCUCAUUUGGACUUUGAAAGCUCACCCCAGAUAAAAAAGACAACCACAUAGUGCAGGAUUUUUCUUUAAGUAAUAGGUCAUUUGCCGUAUGAUCAAUUGACAUGGCAUCAACUUUUAUUAUUCAUCAAAUUGGUUGGUUUGUUCUAUUAUAAACUACAUCAUCAGACCUUAGAAAGUCAACCAAAGCUUCAUGACGUUUUUCUAGAUUCAAAAUCAAAUAUUUGUUUUUAGAUAAUUUUUCAUUUCUACUUGCAUAUCAAGUUCCUAAGAUAUUCAGGUCUUAUUUUGAUGACAGGACCUCCCUGAUUAUAUCCCAUCAGUACCCAAUCCACUUCAGAAAUUUCAGAGGUGCAAAAUCUAGUUGCAGAAAUUGUUGAUUCCAGGUUGGGCAAACAAAUUACAAGAAUCAAGCCGUCCCUCACUUGCAUUCCCGCAGAGGAAGUGAUGAGCCUUGUGACUGCUCAAGUGGCGAAGCAGAGUGAAUAAAAUGAGGUGUGGAAAGACAUUCUGAAUGCAGAGGGUGAUAAAAUAUUUGUGAAGGAUAUCAACUUCUACACGCAGAAGGGGGAGAAUCCCUUUUUUAGCUGAGUUGUCUGAAAGAGCAUAUUUGCAAUGAGAAGUGCCAUUGGUUACAUGAAGAACAAUACAAAGAAAACUCACAGCCCAAACCCAGAUCCAAAGUUGAUGUUUGGAUUAAAGGACAUACAAGGAAGAAAGGAAAAUCUGUGAAUGAAGUGUUUGAGGCAGCAGUGGUAUAGUGAUAUUAGCUCCAUUUUGUAUAUAUUGCAUUAUAAUUUAAACUCAUAUUAAAGAUUGUUUAGAAACUUUUUGACAGCUUUUAGAACUUAAGGAUGGGCUGUUUUGGAUGAUUCAGAACUGUUUGGAUGGUUUUGAAUUUGAAGAUAGUUUUUAAUGUCUAUAAACAUAGUUUUUGGAUGGUUUGGAAUGUAAAGACAGUUUUUGGAUGUUUAGAACUUAUGGAUAGU